rnacentral:lncRNA from 1 species
UGUAUGAAAGGAGAGAAGCAGCUAUAAAUCAGAAGGAAGGUAGAAAACAUAUUUACUAGGGUCUGUCUUUGCUUGUAGUUCUCUGGCUUGAUUGAGGAGGUUCUCGCUCUCAUCCUUAUGGUAAAUAAUUUGAGUAUCAAUCCCACUCACAGCCUACAAAGGAAUUGUAUGGAAAGAAUAAGAAUGACAGCAGAAGAAAUCCACUUCUCAUGGAUUGAAGAUUUAAAUGACACCGUUUCUCUGCUAAACACCAAGCAAGACUCGUACAACUUCAUUUCCAUAGCUCAAAAUCAAAGUCAAAUGUGAACAGGAAAAGAUAAAGUGCAUGACGUUUUCACGGUAAACAUUUUUCAAGGAAAAUUCAGUAAAUCUAGAACAGUGCCUGGUCAAGUCCCCUCUGAAGUACUUGUCAAAUAGAAGCCACUCAAUAAAUAGUUUUUGAGUUGAAAAAAUGUGAAUGUGUGCAUAAAGCAACUUCUCUAUCAGCAUGGAGUAAUCUUAAAUAUGGUUUAUUCAGGGACUGUGGUUUAAAAAUGCUGUCAAAAAGACACUGGCAUUUGCUGACAGGAGUAUGGCACAUCUUGAACUACUGAAACCUUCAUAACACAAAUAAAAUGCUGUUUUCUUAGUUUUCUUGACCUUUCUGCCAUUCGUAUUACACUGGAAGCUCAAGAGAUGACAUUAGAAAACAGAAAACUCAUAAGCUGGGAGACGGCAGCAUGUAAAUGAACUUUAAAAUAAGGGAAUACUCGGUGUGUGUGUGUGUGUGUGUGUGUACACCUGGCUGGCUCUGUUGGUGGAGUGUGGGACUCUGUCUUGGAGUUGUGAGUUCUAGCCCCAUGUUGGGUGUAGAGAUUACUUCAAAACAAAAUCUUAAAAAAAUAAGGGAACACUCACAUCAUAAAUCCGGUCAGUGAUGUUCAAAGCCAAUUCUGCUGUGUCAUUGGCUUCGCUAACAUAAUUGGCAAUAUUUUCAUAGACAUUUGAAGCGUCCAAAGCCUUCUGUACCAGCCCGUUCAUAUCUGAACUGUGCAAAUUCCUGUAAAAGAAGAAACUCGUCCUUUUUCUCUUUCUUACUUUUUUGGGAAAUGGGACCAUUGUUAUGGCUUGAUUGGAAUAUUUCCGGGACCACAGGGACCUCCUUCCUGUUAUUUAAAGUCACUUGGCUUGGAAAGGUUUUCCUGAGCUGCCUUUCCUAGGAGCACAUCUUCUUUGCUUUCCUCUGCCUUUGGUGCCCCUAAGACUUUACCCCAUUUUGGCUUCAUGGAAGCUGUUUGCCUGGCAGUGGCCACAGGAAAAAAGAAAGAUGAUUUAAAUCAGCCCUCUGCACCUCUUCAAGCAACGGCUUCUUUAUGUUGUGGCAGUCAGGCAGAGGAAUGAACCCACAGUCCUCCCUCACCUACUUACCCAAAUCAGCAUUGUUACUUUCUACCCAUAGAAGAAACCAAGGCUCUCAGAGAGGGUGCAUAGCCACAGCGUGGUGUUAAGUCUUAGUUGCACUCUACUUACUCAACCUUUUGUUCACUUUAUAAAACAUCGUAUUUUCCCUUUAAGAAGGGGAAUGACACAUACUGAGCAUCUAUAUGCAGAUACUGGGCUGGACUUGUUCUAUAUAGUACGUCUUUAAUUCUUAUCACACCCAUGAAGUAGACAUUGUUAUUCCCUUUUUAUAGAAGGAACCAGGAUACAGGUUGUUAUGACUUGUCUCACUCCUACGGCCCAGCUGCUUCUCUGAAGUGCAAAGCCCUUCUCAUGCCCAUUUCCUCCCUCGCCCCAUACACCAUGUUUUCUGCCUUUACCCCUUUCUGGACUCCUUAAGGUUCAUCUAAUAUUUCUUGGGUACCCAUCAUGCAGUGGGCGCUCUCACAUAGUGGCUGAUAACGCUUCAUGUCGCAGAGGAUUGAUAUGAGGUACAACAGGGACAAAAUAUGUGAAAUGCUUGCUACCCUGCCUGUCAUCCAACAAACAUCAGGGUUUAUUAUUAUGCCGGAACUAUUUCUUGAACUGGAAUUUCAAAUUCUAAAUAUAUUCAUAGAAUAAUUCACUUUAUUGACACUUUUUCCUCCAUAAUAUAAGCACCGCUUUACUUCUGCAGCUCAUCCUGAAUCCUGUGUCUCUAUUUUAUUCCGUUUUACUUAUUUAUUUAUUUUUAAAAAGAACUUUAAGUUUUUGAUUUUAUUUGUUUAUUUGAGAGAGAGAGACAGCACGAGUGGAGGAGGGGCAGAGAGAGAAGGAGAGAGAGAGAAUCCCAAGCAAACUCUGUGCUGAUGGUGCAGACCCUGAUGUGGGGCUUGAACUCAUGAAACUGAGAUCCUGGCUUGAACUGAAAUGAAGAGUUGGAUGCUUAAGUGGAGUCUGCUUUUGUUAUUCUGUGCCUCCCUCUCUCUGUGCCCCUUCCCUGCUUGUGGUCUCUCUCUCUCUCAAAAAUAAAUAAACGUUAAAAAUUUAAAAAAAAGAAAAAAGAAAAAUGAAGACAGCCAUAGGAGGGAAUCUCAAAAACAAUGUUAUUCCAAUACAGCACAUUAUCCAAAUAAUAUUUUAUCCAAGCUCCAUUUUAUUGGCUUGAUCAAAAUCACAUUUACUGGAAGCAUGAUGCUAAGGUGGAUACAAUGCCAUUUUGCACAUGAAGAGUUUACAUAACAUCUAUUUCUCCCUCUCUCUCUCUCUCUUUCUCUCCUCUCUUUCCUUCAAUUCUCAGAAGAUUUGGAGGGAUAUUUGAAAAUUUUGACAAUCAGGAAUAAAAAGGUAGUUUAAGUUUUGAACAAGAGUUAAAUUGGUUCUUAUUUUAUCCAUGACCUUUACUGAUCCUUAUUUCUAAUUGCCAGAUUUGUAGUCUUUCUCUAUAAUUAUCUCAUUAUUUACCUAUCAUUUCAAGGUCAUGAAUUCAAUUCCAGACUUUCAGUACAUUUCAGUUAACACUAAUUGAGUGCCCAAAGGGUGUGGGACUCUCUUCUAGAUGCUGUGAGGAAAAUUGGCAAUUGAUUUUCUCUUAAUCAGGUGUUGAAAUCAAACAGUUCCUGCUGGGCACUGUAGAAUGUCCAGAGUAUAUAUCAGAAGUCAGCUGUAUUGCCAACUUCUAACCAGCUUUACUUAAGACCCUUGGGUGUGAAAGCUAAUGCUGUCUGUGAAAUAAAU